CAUGCAAGUCGAGCGGAUGAGUGGAGCUUGCUCCAUGAUUCAGCGGCGGACGGGUGAGUAAUGCCUAGGAAUCUGCCUGGUAGUGGGGGACAACGUUUCGAAAGGAACGCUAAUACCGCAUACGUCCUACGGGAGAAAGCAGGGGACCUUCGGGCCUUGCGCUAUCAGAUGAGCCUAGGUCGGAUUAGCUAGUUGGUGAGGUAAUGGCUCACCAAGGCGACGAUCCGUAACUGGUCUGAGAGGAUGAUCAGUCACACUGGAACUGAGACACGGUCCAGACUCCUACGGGAGGCAGCAGUGGGGAAUAUUGGACAAUGGGCGAAAGCCUGAUCCAGCCAUGCCGCGUGUGUGAAGAAGGUCUUCGGAUUGUAAAGCACUUUAAGUUGGGAGGAAGGGCAUUAAUCUAAUACGUUAGUGUUUUGACGUUACCGACAGAAUAAGCACCGGCUAACUUCGUGCCAGCAGCCGCGGUAAUACGAAGGGUGCAAGCGUUAAUCGGAAUUACUGGGCGUAAAGCGCGCGUAGGUGGUUUGUUAAGUUGAAUGUGAAAGCCCCGGGCUCAACCUGGGAACUGCAUCCAAAACUGGCAAGCUAGAGUAUGGC
rnacentral:rRNA from 1 species